AUUGAACGCUGGCGGCAGGCCUAACACAUGCAAGUCGAGCGAGCGGCGGACGGGUGAGUAAUGUUUGGGAAACUGCCUGAUGGAGGGGGAUAACUACUGGAAACGGUAGCUAAUACUGCAUAUCAUCAGAUGUGCCCAGAUGGGAUUAGCUAGUAGGUGGGGUAACGGCUCACCUAGGCGACGAUCCCUAGCUGGUCUGAGAGGAUGACCAGCCACACUGGAACUGAGACACGGUCCAGACUCCUACGGGAGGCAGCAGUGGGGAAUAUUGCACAAUGGGCGAAAGCCUGAUGCAGCCAUGCCGCGUGUAUGAAGAAGGCCUUCGGGUUGUAAAGUACUUUCGGCGGGGAAGCGUUACCCGCAGAAUAAGCACCGGCUAACUCCGUGCCAGCAGCCGCGGUAAUUC
rnacentral:rRNA from 1 species